rnacentral:rRNA from 1 species
CCAGACUCCUACGGGAGGCAGCAGUGGGGAAUAUUGGGCAAUGGGGGAAACCCUUAUCCAGCGACGCCGCGUGAGGGAAGAAGGUUUUCGGAUUGUAAACCUCUGUCAGUGGGGACGAUAAUGACGGUACCCACGGAGGAAGCCACGGCUAACUACGUGCCAGCAGCCGCGGUAAUACGUAGGUGGCAAGCGUUGUCCGGAAUUACUGGGUGUAAAGGGAGCGUAGGCGGGAUGUCAAGUCAGAAGUGAAAUCUGGGGGCUUAACCCCCAAACUGCUUUUGAAACUGCGGGUCUUGAGUGAUGGAGAGGCAGGCGGAAUUCCCAGUGUAGCGGUGAAAUGCGUAGAUAUUGGGAGGAACACCAGUGGCGAAGGCGGCCUGCUGGACAUUAACUGACGCUGAGGCGCGAAAGCGUGGGGAGCAAACAGGAUUAGAUACCCGCGUAA